rnacentral:rRNA from 1 species
CAGCCAUUCAUUUAAAGAGUGCGUAACAGCUCACUAGUCGAGCGGUCGAGCAUGGAUAAUAAUCGGGCAUAAGCAUACCACCGAAGCUGUGGCAGUAAUUUAUUACUGGGUAGGGGAGCAUUCUAUGUGCGUUGAAGUUAAACUGCGAGGUUUAUUGGAGCGCAUAGAAAAGAAAAUGUAGGCAUAAGUAACGACAAUGCAGGCGAGAAACCUGCACACCGAAAGACUAAGGUUUCCUCAGCUAUGCUAAUCAGCUGAGGGUUAGUCGGGACCUAACGCGAACCCGAAGGGGGUAGUGGAUGGACAACGGGUUAAUAUUCCCGUACCUGCCGGCGCAAAAAGUGACGGAGGGGAUGAGUUAUUGCGUACUGACGGAAUAGUACGUUGAAGGAUCUGUUAAGGGUCUGAUAGUACACCAAGGCUUCGGCUGCGGUGAUAAUAUAGCGAUUCCACUUCCAAGAAAAGCGAGCCAGGCAGCCCGUACCGUAAACCGACACAGGUAGUUGGGAUGAGAAUUCUAAGGUGCUCGAGAGAUUCAUGGCUAAGGAACUAGGCAAAAUGGGCCCGUAACUUCGGGAGAAGGGUCGCCUACUUCGGUAGGCCGCAGUGAAGAGGUCCAGGCGACUGUUUAUCAAAAACACAGGACUCUGCUAAAUCGAAAGAUGACGUAUAGGGUCUGACACCUGCCCGGUGCCGGAAGGUUAAGUGGAGGGUUUAGCUUUACGCGAAGAUCUGAAAUGAAGCCCCGGUAAACGGCGGCCGUAACUAUAACGGUCCUAAGGUAGCGAAAUUCCUUGUCGGGUAAGUUCCGACCUGCACGAAUGGUGCAACGAUCUGGACACUGUCUCAGCCAUGAGCUCGGUGAAAUUGUAGUAUCGGUGAAGAUGCCGAUUACCCGCUACGGGACGAAAAGACCCCGUGCACCUUUACUAUAGCUUCGUAUUGACCUUGGAUAAGUAACGUGUAGGAUAGGUGGGAGACUUUGAAGUGGCGUCGCUAGGCGUCGUGGAGUCAUUGUUGAAAUACCACCCUUUGCUUAUCUAGGGCCUAAUCCCUAACAGGAGACAGUGCGUGGUGGGUAGUUUGACUGGGGUGGUCGCCUCCAAAAGAGUAACGGAGGCUUCUAAAGGUACCCUCAGCACGCUUGGUAACCGUGCGUAGAGUGCAAUGGCAUAAGGGUGCUUGACUGAGAGACCUACAAGUCGAUCAGGUUGGAAACAAGAGCAUAGUGAUCCGGUGGUUCCGUAUGGAAGGGCCAUCGCUCAAAGGAUAAAAGGUACGCCGGGGAUAA